GGCUCAGGAUGAACGCUAGCUACAGGCUUAACACAUGCAAGUCGAGGGGCAGCAUUCCAGUUUGCUUGCAAACUGGAGAUGGCGACCGGCGCACGGGUGAGUAACACGUAUCCAACCUGCCGAUAACUCGGGGAUAGCCUUUCGAAAGAAAGAUUAAUACCCGAUGGCAUAAUAGAACCGCAUGGUUUGAUUAUUAAAGAAUUUCGGUUAUCGAUGGGGAUGCGUUCCAUUAGGCAGUUGGUGGGGUAACGGCCCACCAAACCUUCGAUGGAUAGGGGUUCUGAGAGGAAGGUCCCCCACAUUGGAACUGAGACACGGUCCAAACUCCUACGGGAGGCAGCAGUGAGGAAUAUUGGUCAAUGGACGAGAGUCUGAACCAGCCAAGUAGCGUGAAGGAUGACUGCCCUAUGGGUUGUAAACUUCUUUUAUAUGGGAAUAAAGUUUUCCACGUGUGGAAUUUUGUAUGUACCAUAUGAAUAAGGAUCGGCUAACUCCGUGCCAGCAGCCGCGGUAAUACGGAGGAUCCGAGCGUUAUCCGGAUUUAUUGGGUUUAAAGGGAGCGUAGGCGGGUUGUUAAGUCAGUUGUGAAAGUUUGCGGCUCAACCGUAAAAUUGCAGUUGAUACUGGCUGUCUUGAGUACAGUAGAGGUGGGCGGAAUUCGUGGUGUAGCGGUGAAAUGCUUAGAUAUCACGAAGAACUCCGAUUGCGAAGGCAGCUCACUGGACUGCAACUGACACUGAUGCUCGAAAGUGUGGGUAUCAAACAGGAUUAGAUACCCUGGUAGUCCACACAGUAAACGAUGAAUACUCGCUGUUUGCGAUAUACAGUAAGCGGCCAAGCGAAAGCAUUAAGUAUUCCACCUGGGGAGUACGCCGGCAACGGUGAAACUCAAAGGAAU
rnacentral:rRNA from 1 species